AGGGUCGGGGCCACGCCCACAGACAUAGAUGAGAGCGCUUCUUUUUCUGCUCCGCCUAACCGUGUACGUUGAUGUGUUUCGUAUCUCUAUCAUAGAACAAUGAGCAGCGGGAAAAGCAUCACAGCCGCUCGCAUUGAGCACAUGCAACCGCGAUCAAUGAAUUACACAAUGCUACCGCCGUGCGGCUAAGCGAUCGGCCGCGCGCGC
rnacentral:ribozyme from 1 species